UACGGAGGAUCCGAGCGUUAUCCGGAUUUAUUGGGUUUAAAGGGUGCGCAGGCGGGGGAUUAAGUCGGCGGUGAAAUUUUGCGGCUCAACUGUAAAAGUGCCUUCGAAACUGGUUUCCUUGAGUGUAGAUGAAGUAGGCGGAAUUUGUGGUGUAGCGGUGAAAUGCAUAGAUAUCACGAGGAACUCCGAUUGCGCAGGCAGCUUACUAAACUACUACUGACGCUCAUGCACGAAGGCGUGGGGAUCAAACAGGAUUAGAUACCCCCGUAGUCCCU
rnacentral:rRNA from 1 species